rnacentral:rRNA from 1 species
CAGCAGCCGCGGGAAUACGAAGGGUGCAAGCGUUAAUCGGAAUUACUGGGCGUAAAGCGCACGUAGGCGGCUUUGUAAGUUAGAGGUGAAAGCCCGGAGCUCAACUCCGGAAUUGCCUUUAAGACUGCAGAGCUAGCAGGUGAGAGAGGUGAGUGGAAUUCCGAGUGUAGAGGUGAAAUUCGUAGAUAUUCGGAAGAACACCAGUGGCGAAGGCGGCUCACUGGCUCAUACUGGACGCUGAGGUGCGAAAGCGUGGGGAGCAAACAGGAUUAGAUACCCGAGUAGUCCCUGUCUCUUAUAC